rnacentral:lncRNA from 1 species
AUGUCCAUAGCGUCAUACGUGUCCUUGUCAUGUCACACACAUGUCUAUAGUGUCUUAUGUGUGUCCUCAUCAUGUCACACGCGUGUCCUUAACAUGUCACACGCGUGUCCUUGCUGUGUUACACACAUGUCCAUUGGUAACACACGCGUGUCCUUGUCAUGCCACAUGUCUGUCCUUGUCAUGUCAUACACGUGUCCUUGCUGUGUUACACAUGUCCACUGUAUCACACGCAUGUCCAUUGGUAUCACACGUGUGUCCUUAUCAUGUCACACGCGUGUCCUUGCCGUGCCACACACAUGUCCAUUGUAUCACACACAUGUCCAUUGUAUGACACGCGUGUUGUUGCCGUGUCACACGCGUGUCCUUGCCGUGUCACACACAUGUCCAUUGUAUGACACGCGUGUUGUUGCCGUGUCACACGCGUGUCCUUGCCGUGUCACACACAUGUCCAUUGUAUCACACACAUGUCCAUUGUAUGGCACGCGUGUUGUUGCCGUGUCACAUGCGUGUCCUUGCUGUGUCACAUGUGUGUCCAUUGUCACACGCGUGUCCAUUGUCACACGUGUGUCCUUGUCAUGUCACACGCGUGUCCUUCACAUGUUAGUCAAAUGUCCAUAGUGUCAUGUGUGUGUCCUCAUCAUGUCACAUGUGUGUCCUUAUCAUGUCACACGCGUGUCCAUUGUGUCAUACGUGUCCUUGUCAUGUCACACACGUGUCCUUCUCAUGUUAGACGCAUGUCCAUAGUGUCACACGUGUGUCCUUGUCAUCUUACACACAUGCCCACUGUGUCAUACGUGUCCUUGUCAUGUCACACGUGUGUCCUUGUCAUGUCACACGCAUGUCCAUUGUAUCACACACAUGUCCAUUGUGUCACACGCGUGUCCUUGUCAUGUCACACGCGUGUCUUUCUCAUGUUAGACGCAUGUCCAUUGACAUCACACACGUGUUGUUGCCAUGUCACACGCGUGUCGUUGCCGUGUUACACAUGUCCAUUGCAUGACACAUGUGUCCUUGUCAUGUCACACACAUGUCCAUUGUAUUACACACACAUGUCCAUUGUAUGACACGCGUGUCCUUGUCAUGUCACACGCGUGUCGUUGCCGUGUCACACGCGUGUCCUUGUCAUGUCACACACAUGUCCAUUGUAUUACACGUGUCCAUUGUAUCACACACAUGUCCAUUGUAUGACACGCGUGUCCUUGUCAUGUCACACGCGUGUCGUUGCCGUAUUACACAUGUCCAUUGUAUGACACGUGUGUUGUUGCCAUGUCCCACGCGUGUUGUUGCCGUGUCACACACAUGUUGUUGCCGUGUUACACGCGUGUUGUUGCCGUGUUACACGCGUAUGCUCCCCCCGUGUUCCAUGUUGGUGUUUCCCGUGUCUCCCAUUGGCGGCUCCACGUCCCCGUCGUCAGACACAGGAUCCUCUGGGGGCACAAAGGGGGGAAAUCAAUGGGGCUGCCCCAUAGCGGAGCCCUAUAGGGAUCCCUGCCCCAUAGCGUAGCCCUACAGGGAUCCCUGACCCAUAGCAGAGCCCUAUAGGGAUCCCUGCCCCAUAGCGGAGCCCUAUAGGGAUCCCUGCCCCAUAGCGGAGCCCUAUAGGGAUCCCUGCCC